GCCUACGGGGGGCAGCAGUGGGGAAUAUUGCACAAUGGGCGCAAGCCUGAUGCAGCGACGCCGCGUGAGCGAAGAAGUAUUUCGGUAUGUAAAGCUCUAUCAGCAGGGAAGAAAAUGACGGUACCUGACUAAGAAGCUCCGGCUAAAUACGUGCCAGCAGCCGCGGUAAUACGUAUGGAGCAAGCGUUAUCCGGAUUUACUGGGUGUAAAGGGAGCGUAGGCGGCAGUGCAAGUCAGAAGUGAAAGCCCGGGGCUCAACUCCGGGACUGCUUUUGAAACUGUACAGCUUGAUUGCAGGAGAGGCA
rnacentral:rRNA from 1 species